AGUGAACGCUGGCGGUAGGCCUAACACAUGCAAGUCGAACGGCAGCACAGUAAGAGCUUGCUCUUACGGGUGGCGAGUGGCGGACGGGUGAGGAAUACAUCGGAAUCUACUUUUUCGUGGGGGAUAACGUAGGGAAACUUACGCUACUACCUCAUACGACCUACGGGUGAAAUCAGGGGAUCUUCGGACCUUGCGCGAUUGAAUGAGCCGAUGUCGGAUUAGCUAGUUGGCGGGGUAAAGGCCCACCAAGGCGACGAUCCGUAGCUGGUCUGAGAGGAUGAUCAGCCACACUGGAACUGAGACACGGUCCAGACUCCUACGGGAGGCAGCAGUGGGGAAUAUUGGACAAUGGGCGCAAGCCUGAUCCAGCCAUACCGCGUGGGUGAAGAAGGCCUUCGGGUUGUAAAGCCCUUUUGUUGGGAAAGAAAAGCAGCAGGUUAAUACCCCGCUGUUCUGACGGUACCCAAAGAAUAAGCAACGGCUAACUUCGUG
rnacentral:rRNA from 1 species